UACGUAGGGGGCAAGCGUUGUCCGGAUUUAUUGGGCGUAAAGAGCGUGUAGGCGGCCAGGUAGGUCUGCUGUGAAAACUCGAGGCUUAACCUCGAGAUGUCGGCGGAAACCAUCUGGCUAGAGUCCGGAAGAGGAGAAUGGAAUUCCCGGUGUAGCGGUGAAAUGCGCAGAUAUCGGGAAGAACACCCGUGGCGAAGGCGGUUCUCUGGGACGGUACUGACGCUGAGACGCGAAAGCGUGGGAGCGAACAGG
rnacentral:rRNA from 1 species